UCCUCACUAAAAGCAACACAGGCUCUUGACUGCUGAACCAUCCAUCUCUCCAGUCUGGAUGUUAAGUCUUAAGUCUGCAUCUGUUUAAAUUAUUAACUGGGGUCCCAUGUUUGGAAAACCAGGUUCAAAUGGCUUAAUCCUCCCAAGGCCUUGUGGUUUCAAAUGUAGGAACCUUACAGUAGACGAAAGGAAGAACAAGCCUUUAUUUGAAUCAGCCGCUGACGUUGAUUAUCAGGUAUUUGGCAGAGUAGGGGAAGAUUCCUGCCUGCGUCAGUGUGAGUAGACUUGAACUUGUCUCAGUUUCGUGGCCCAGGGAGUCUGAGAAAUGCAUAGACAAAGGACUGAUAAGAUGUGAUAUUUCUCUAGGAGAAUAGUGAGUGGCGGCAUCCACUCAGCCAGUGGUCUCUGCUGCUGUUUAGCCAUCCUGGGUUUUGUUUUGUUUUGUUUUUCAGUGUUUUUCACCCAUAGGAGAACUUCAGUUCUCUCUCCAUUGGAGUAAAAGAUUCCAACUAAAUUCCUAGUGGAAGUCCUCGUUGAACCCCCAGUUGUAAAGCACGUGGCCAUGACUCGUAUCCUCCAGCACGCUAAAAUAAAUGCUCACAUAAGUCCAGUCGUUCUUGGUAGUGGUUCCCUAAGAUCAAUUCAAAAUAAGCUCUACGAGGAUGCAUACAGUGUGAAGUACUCAGGGAUACACUGCGAGUGAGUUACCUAUGAAUCCCCAGUGCUUUUACAUUUCACUCUUGUGUUGACUGGUGGAGGCUUAUGCAUCACAGUCAGGCCCUGUCCUGAGCGUGUGGGACACCGGAUCCUCUCGAGUUGGAAAGGAUGGAAAUGAUGUAGCGGCAGGCAGGCAGGCAGGAAGAAAGCAGACUCCGCCACAGGCGCAGGGUCAGUUGCUUCUUUCUCAUCUCUUCGAGGAACAAGCUAUCUGGGACUCACAGAUCUUGACCCAUAUCAAAGACUUGACCAACUGAAAGGCUUAGGAAACGAAUAGUCGCUCCUUUUCUUGACGUUCAGAAUCCUCCUGUAAGAGCACCGCGAAUGCGCCGGGUGGAUAGAUCACUGCACAGUGUUGGACAUUGGAAGCAGACUGCCAUGACUCUGGCCCUUCCAGAAGGACUAAGCUCCCUUCCUAGUCUUACUCCCUGCUAGGAUCUCCAGGUUGUCCUCUCCCUUCGGUUCCUGCCCCUGUUGUGAUCCAGGCCAGUUUUCUCCACCCACCCACUCCAUGCAUGCUCUAGAAAUGUCUUCAUACUGGCCAUACCACCUAUCAUCAAUCCCUGUGUAACCCAGCAAAGCAUUGCUUCAUUUCCCUGCCAAAGGUGUAUGUACUUUGAUUCUGCUUAUUAUUAGAUGGUGAUGAUAGACUUACUUGUUACUUAAUGUAUUUGCCUAUUUACGUUUGUGUAGGAAUUGCACCUAAGACCCAGGCCUGCUCAGCGGUAUUCAGACAGUUAGCUGCAUCCCCAGCACUUCCUUGCAUACCAGGAAAGUCAAGCCACACUUAUCCACAGUCUAGAGAGCUCGGUUUCUAGCCCCAGCUCAUGCAGAUCUUUCUUCCCUUUGCUGAGGUGUGUCCUCCCAGGCUCAGGUCGCUCAUCCAUUAGUCAUUCCCUCAGCAUGUGCUCCUAGGGCCAGCCCUGUCCUGGACACCGAGGACGGACAGACGGCGCAGUAAUGGCCCUUGCCUCACAGGCCGUCCUCUCGGAGGCUGUGUCAGCUGCUUAGGUUACCACUGCACCCCUCUUCUCUCCCUAAAAUGUGUGUGCAUCUUGCCACCGGUGAUUUUUGGAAGGGUCACCUCUUUCCUUUGAAGGGCUCUUUUAUGCUCAUAAAAAUAUGUAAGUAAUAUAAAAGCCAAAUCCCUUUUCAUCUUCUGUUGUUUGAAAAUGACUCAUAGACUUUUUCGGACUUUUUUUUUAUCUCUACCUAUAUUCUAUAUUAGAAUUUUUCUCCAUAAGGGCAUUUUUUUUUAAUUUGGGGAACAUUAUUACAUUGAAGGAAAUAGAAUCAGGAAGGAUCACUGAGGAGAAAGGAUAUUGAAAAGUAUGUAAUUUAAAAUGUUUCUGGAAAUCUUUUCCGCUUCCACAGUUAUGGGGAAACAGCCGUCCUUUGAACUUUGAUUCAUCGUAAUUUCUUUGAUCUUGUUCAAAAUAUUUGUGCUAUAUUAAAGUUGUUCUAGUGAUUCGCUUUAUUACUCUUUCCUGUAGUCUUUGCCUUUGUCUGAGAUGACAUUAAUUCCCUCUAGUUUUAGAAAUCCGAGACUUUCCAUGUUGGUAGGCAAUGGGAUAUUAAAAACAUGUGUUACAGUGUUCUGAGGCUGUGCAUGUGAGAAACAGGCAGGCUCAGCUGCAGACUCAGAAAGGUAAAAGUCCUUAUUGAAAACCCCUGUAGCAAGUAUCUUAUUUUAAAACC
rnacentral:lncRNA from 1 species